AGCUUUGCGCAGUGGCAGUAUCGUAGCCAAUGAGGUUUAUCCGAGGCGCGAUUAUUGCUGAUUGAAAAGUGAGUGCUGGCCAGGAGAACAGGUGCAUGCAGAUGCUCAGCAAACAUUCAUUGAGCACCUAUUGUGCAUCACCUUCUGUUUUAGGU
ensembl:snRNA U4 U4 spliceosomal RNA